AGAGUUUGAUCCUGGCUCAGGACGAACGCUGGCGGCGUGCUUAACACAUGCAAGUCGAACGGAAAGGCCCUUCGGGGUACUCGAGUGGCGAACGGGUGAGUAACACGUGGGUAACCUGCCCUCAGCUUCGGGAUAACUCCGGGAAACCGGGGCUAAUACCGGAUAUUCAUUGUCUGCCGCAUGGUGGGUGGUGGAAAGUUUUUUCGGCUGGGGAUGGGCCCGCGGCCUAUCAGCUUGUUGGUGGGGUGAUGGCCUACCAAGGCGUCGACGGGUAGCCGGCCUGAGAGGGCGACCGGCCACACUGGGACUGAGACACGGCCCAGACUCCUACGGGAGGCAGCAGUGGGGAAUAUUGCGCAAUGGGCGGAAGCCUGACGCAGCGACGCCGCGUGAGGGAUGACGGCCUUCGGGUUGUAAACCUCUUUCAGCAGGGACGAAUGUAGACGGUACCUGUAGAAGAAGCACCGGCCAACUACGUGCCAGCAGCCGCGGUAAUACGUAGGGUGCGAGCGUUGUCCGGAAUUAUUGGGCGUAAAGAGCUCGUAGGCGGUCUGUCGCGUCGAAUGUGAAAACCCGGGGCUCAACUCCGGGCUUGCAUUCGAUACGGGCAGGCUAGAGUUCGGUAGGGGAGUCUGGAAUUCCUGGUGUAGCGGUGAAAUGCGCAGAUAUCAGGAGGAACACCGGUGGCGAAGGCGGGACUCUGGGCCGAUACUGACGCUGAGGAGCGAAAGCGUGGGGAGCGAACAGGAUUAGAUACCCUGGUAGUCCACGCCGUAAACGUUGGGCGCUAGGUGUGGGGGUCCUUCCACGAUCUCCGUGCCGCAGCUAACGCAUUAAGCGCCCCGCCUGGGGAGUACGGCCGCAAGGCUAAAACUCAAAGGAAUUGACGGGGGCCCG
rnacentral:rRNA from 1 species